rnacentral:rRNA from 1 species
UACAGAGGUCCCAAGCGUUGUUCGGAUUCAUUGGGCGUAAAGGGUGCGCAGGUGGCUGGGUAAGUUUGAUGUGAAAGCCCCGGGCUCAACCUGGGAAUGGCAUUUGGGACUGCAAGGCUUGAGUGCGGCAGAGGAGACUGGAAUUCCUGGUGUAGCAGUGAAAUGCGUAGAUAUCAGGAGGAAUACCGAUGGCGAAGGCAGGUCCCUGGGCUGACACUGACGCUCAUGCACGAAAGCGUGGGGAGCAAACAGG